rnacentral:rRNA from 1 species
GGAAGUAAAAGUCGUAACAAGGUCUCCGUUGGUGAACCAGCGGAGGGAUCAUUACCGAGUUUACAACUCCCAAACCCCUGUGAACUUAUACCAUUUUUACCGUUGCUUCGGCGGGUUUCGCCCCGGGACAGGCUCGUUAGGGCCUACCCGGAACCAGGCGCCCGCCGGAGGACCCCGAUAAACUCUGUAUUUUUUUUUUUACUUUAUGGCAUGUCUGAGUGUUAAAAAAAAUGAAUCAAAACUUUCAACAACGGAUCUCUUGGUUCUGGCAUCGAUGAAGAACGCAGCGAAAUGCGAUAAGUAAUGUGAAUUGCAGAAUUCAGUGAAUCAUCGAAUCUUUGAACGCACAUUGCGCCCGCCAGUAUUCUGGCGGGCAUGCCUGUUCGAGCGUCAUUUCACCCCUCAGCCCCUGUGGUUUGGUGUUGGGGACCGGCGAUAGUGCUCUGCUCCGGCAGGCGCACGCCGCCCCCAAAAUGAAUUGGCGGUCUCGUCGCGGCCUCCUCUGCGUAGUAGCACAAAACCUCGCAACAGGAGCGCGGCGCGGACACUGCCGCAAAACGCCCCGACUUCUCUUAGAGCUGACCUCGAAUCAGGUAGGAAUACCCGUUGAACUUAAGCAUAUCAAUAAGCGGAGGA